rnacentral:misc_RNA from 1 species
GUCUAGUUGCGUUUCUUCCGUCUUCUGAGGCACUCCAACUCCCGUCGCCGCAAUUUGCGACUUUCUGUGGCUGCCGCGGAUGCGGCCCAUCGCCCAUCACACAUUCGGCACAACCGCCUCUCUUUUCAUCCCCUUUCGCUACACUCUGGUUCUGAGCAUCUGAACAAAGGAUGUGCACACCGGAAGUAACGGAGCACACGCGCAUCCAUUACGUGUGCCACAGGUGACGGAGAUUCCAGGAGAGCGGACAUCAUGAGAAUCCACCAGCGAACGAGUCAACGACCUCACACCGUGACUGUGAGGAAAAAGGUGUGUGGUUGCUUGGUGAUGCGCUAGUGGUCUUGUCUGGAGGUAUCGUGGCUGACCAAGGUACCCCUGCUGGCAACGUUGUGCUUCUUUAGGGCGGUGGCGGUGGUGGAAAGGACUAGAGAGGGGGAUGUAGGUGGAUUAAGGAGGGGCGGCAGUUUAGCUGCUACUAGAGAGAUGCUCGGCCACGCUGUUUUCGACCCGACGUGGCUGAUGUGCGUGUGAGUCUGCAAAUGCCUGUGGCGAUGCGUGCGUGCGUGCGUAGAUGUGCUUCUGUGUGCAGCAGAGAGGUGGGGAGAGACAUGUCGGUGCCGCCUUCCUUUCUUCUUGCAGCCUUGAGUCUGCCAUCUCAUACAUUAAGGGUUCAACACUGAGAGGGAUGUCUUUGUGCGGGUGCGUGUGCGUGUGUGCGCGCCCGUGUGGUCUGACCAGAGGGGCGUGCUCGGACGCGCUCUUCCGCCCUCUUCGCGCUCCACACACACACACACACACACCCUUGCACAGACCUCUGCCCCCUCUCGCCUUUAUUCCAUAGUGUUUGCCUGAGUCAUGUGAGAGAGAGCGAGUGUGCGGCGAAGCGAAAAGGACAACCAAAACUUGUUUUCGGGCGUGCGUGUGCAUGCCUCGCGGUUAUUAUGGCAGCGUCUUGCCCGGCCCCCCUUCCCCUUCCCCUAUGCACACAGUCGCAUGCUCAACUACGAGAAUGGGGCGCGGGCGUGUUGGAAAACCAAGCAGAACAGUAGACGAAAGCAUAACUCUGCCGAAUGGGCAGAGCGGUGUCUUCCGUCUCUCUCUCAUGUACCCCGCGG